rnacentral:rRNA from 1 species
UACGUAGGUGGCAAGCGUUGUCCGGAUUUACUGGGUGUAAAGGGCGCGUAGGCGGGCUCGUAAGUCAGACGUGAAAUACCGGGGCUCAACCCCGGGGCUGCGUUUGAAACUGCGAGUCUUGAGUGCCGGAGAGGAAAGCGGAAUUCCUAGUGUAGCGGUGAAAUGCGUAGAUAUUAGGAGGAACACCGGUGGCGAAGGCGGCCAACUGGGCUUUAACUGACGCUGAGGCUCGAAAGUGUGGGGAGCAAACAGG